AUUGAACGCUGGCGGCAUGCCUUACACAUGCAAGUCGAACGGUAACAGGUCUUCGGAUGCUGACGAGUGGCGAACGGGUGAGUAAUACAUCGGAACGUGCCCGAGAGUGGGGGAUAACGAGGCGAAAGCUUUGCUAAUACCGCAUACGAUCUCAGGAUGAAAGCAGGGGACCGCAAGGCCUUGCGCUCACGGGGCGGCCGAUGGCAGAUUAGGUAGUUGGUGGGAUAAAAGCUUACCAAGCCGACGAUCUGUAGCUGGUCUGAGAGGACGACCAGCCACACUGGGACUGAGACACGGCCCAGACUCCUACGGGAGUCAGCAGUGGGGAAUUUUGGACAAUGGGCGCAAGCCUGAUCCAGCCAUGCCGCGUGCAGGAUGAAGGCCUUCGGGUUGUAAACUGCUUUUGUACGGAACGAAAAGACUCUGGUUAAUACCUGGGGUCCAUGACGGUACCGUAAGAAUAAGCACCGGCUAACUACGUGCCAGCAGCCGCAGUAACAC
rnacentral:rRNA from 1 species